AAAUAGCGAAGGAGGGAAGACCGGGCAGCCACGCUCCAUAUAUAGAAACAAACAUCAAGUUUGUCAGCCCUCAUGAGAUAUGCUGUUGACCUGUCCAGGAUCUACCCCACCUCUUGUUCUCAGCUGCUGGACCCAGCCUUACCACGACCCUCACAGGACACGGAUAAUGGAUGGGAGUAUUUGGCUUCAUGCUGUCCUCCCACCUCAGAGUGGGAGGCACCGGUGCUACAUGCCCAGAAACAGAGGAUUGGAACACCAAGGUGCCAAACAGAUCACCGUGAGAUUUAGACUCCACAAUGUGUUUUGCUCUGUGAAGGCUCUGUGAUUCUUACACAUGAUUUUGGACCGUACAGUGCACAAGGAGCCUGUGAUGUCAGUUGUGCAUAACAGGAUGUUGCUUGUAUCUUAUUUAUUUUUGUUUUGCUAUAUGAUAUUGGUUACCAUUCAUUUUUGCUUUGAGGUUAACAGGGACACAACAAUUAGAAUUUGAAUAUCAUUUUAGCAAAAUAACGGUGUCUUUGUAAAUUGAGGUCCAUGGGAAAAAAAAAAAAAAUUCACUCCAAUGUAUGUAUUUAUCAACUAUAGA